rnacentral:lncRNA from 1 species
GGCUUUCCUUGCCCGAACCAGUCUAACCCCCUGUCUUCUCACGCCACCAUCCGAAUCCUUACACGCAUAAAAGAAAUUUAAUUGUCAUAGUCUUGAUCUUGUAAUCUCGACAACGACAGUUGGCGCACCAGGUAGGGGACCUUUGCGCGUACAUCACCGGCUUCAGAUGGCCAGCCGCGACACCAGCUUUGCUCCUGGCUCCCUCGUCCGCUUCGGGAGCUUGGAUUUCCUCACCAUGGGGGAGGGAAUCAAGUUGAUCCCUCUCCUUG